GGCAUUCGCACGCCAGCACCAGUGCAGCUGUCAGAUUGCUCUACAGGCAAGACAGCGGCCUCCACAGCUUGCCUGAGAUCAGUGGGGCGCCUUUACAGAAUGGGAAGAUUUUCCUCAACGGAGUUAGCUACCAAGGCCCCAAUGGGGCCGUGUCGCCUGCCAAUACUCCUGCUGCACGCCGAGACAGGGCGCCGGUGCAGAAGCCAGAGACGUGAUGGAACGGCAGGGAUGCCCAACAUUCUUCCGGAUAUCAGGCCCGCUUGACCUAUCGGGAGCUCCCGCCAUCAGCUAACGUCAGCAUUCAGAAACCUCCACCCCACCUGUCGCCGCCGAAACAGCAUUUGGCUCGCCUACGCAGCACACGCUGCACCGUCGGCGAUGCGGUGGCACGUACCUCGUCGCGUUGUUCUGCGAGUAUCUGCUGUUCCGUUGUCUGCGCCAGCGCGUUGGCUGCAUUCCCCUGCACAGCGCACGCCCGCGGUCGGACAGCCUCCCCGCGAUGCUUCGACGCAUUACGGACACCGCCCCGGUUCACCGACAGGCCCCUGUGCAUCCGACAAAACCCGCGCUUGGCAGCGCAGCCCACAUCAUGCGCCUCCUCCAGCACUUUUGCCUGCCUCGUCUUCGUUUAACUUCGCAUCUCUGUUAG
rnacentral:misc_RNA from 1 species